CCUACGGGGGGCAGCAGUGGGGAAUAUUGGACAAUGGGGGCAACCCUGAUCCAGCCAUGCCGCGUGUGUGAAGAAGGCCCUCGGGUUGUAAAGCACUUUCAGUGAGGAAGAACGCCUGGUAGUUAAUACCCAUCAGGAAAGACAUCACUCACAGAAGAAGCACCGGCUAACUCCGUGCCAGCAGCCGCGGUAAUACGGAGGGUGCGAGCGUUAAUCGGAAUUACUGGGCGUAAAGCGCGCGUAGGUGGCUUGAUAAGCCGGUUGUGAAAGCCCCGGGCUCAACCUGGGAACGGCAUCCGGAACUGUCAAGCUAGAGUGCAGGAGAGGAAGGUAGAAUUCCCGGUGUAGCGGUGAAAUGCGUAGAGAUCGGGAGGAAUACCAGUGGCGAAGGCGGCCUUCUGGACUGACACUGACACUGAGGUGCGAAAGCGUGGGUAGCAAACAGGAUUAGAUACCCGUGUAGUC
rnacentral:rRNA from 1 species